GGCCUCUUCCUCCCCUGCGUUGGCGUGUGGCAGCAUGACCGGGUCGAGAUCAUCGCCAAUGACUAGGGAAACCGCACCACGCUCUCCUACGUCGCCUUCACCGACACCGAGUGCCUCAUCGACGCCGCUAAGAACCAGGUCGCCAUGAACCCCACCAACACCGUAUUCGGUACGUGCCACCCUCCCUCCCUCCCGACCCGCUGUGUAUCAUGCGUCGUCUGUUGGAUGAGAUCUCUGUGGAUGCGUGCGGUCCUUGUUCUGUUCUUACGCGCACGAUGUGAUAUGAUUUAUUCUGAAUAA
rnacentral:rRNA from 1 species